rnacentral:rRNA from 1 species
UACGUAGGGUGCGAGCGUUGUCCGGAAUUAUUGGGCGUAAAGGGCUCGUAGGCGGUUUGUCGCGUCGGGAGUGAAAACACCGGGCUUAACUCGGUGCUGGCUUUCGAUACGGGCAGACUAGAGGUAUUCAGGGGAGAACGGAAUUCCUGGUGUAGCGGUGAAAUGCGCAGAUAUCAGGAAGAACACCAAUGGCGAAAGCAGCUCUCUGGGACGGUACUGGCGCUGAGACGCGAAAGCGUGGGGAGCGAACAGG